rnacentral:rRNA from 1 species
UGGGGAAUAUUGGACAAUGGGGGCAACCCUGAUCCAGCCAUCCCGCGUGUGUGAAGAAGGCUUUCGGGUUGUAAAGCACUUUCAGUGAGGAGGAAGGCUCAAAAGCUAAUACCUUUUGGGAUUGACGUUACUCACAGAAGAAGCACCGGCUAACUCCGUGCCAGCAGCCGCGGUAAUACGGAGGGUGCAAGCGUUAAUCGGAAUUACUGGGCGUAAAGCGCGCGUAGGUGGUUUGGUAAGCGAGAUGUGAAAGCCCCGGGCUUAACCUGGGAACGGCAUUUCGAACUGCCAGGCUAGAGUGUGGUAGAGGGUAGUGGAAUUUCCUGUGUAGCGGUGAAAUGCGUAGAUAUAGGAAGGAACACCAGUGGCGAAGGCGGCUACCUGGACCAACACUGACACUGAGGUGCGAAAGCGUGGGGAGCAACCAGGAUUAGAUACCCUGGUAGUCCACCCCGUAAUCGAUGUCAGCUACCCGUUGGGGAUCUUGAAUCCUUAGUGGCGCAGCUUUCGCGCUGAA